rnacentral:rRNA from 1 species
CGUGAGGGAAAGGUGAAAAGAACCCCGGGAGGGGAGUGAAAGAGAACCUGAAACCAUAUGCCUACAAGAAGUCAGAGCCCGUUAAAGGGUGAUGGCGUGCCUUUUGUAGAAUGAACCGGCGAGUUACUGUAUGGAGCGAGGUUAAGCAGGAUAUGCGGAGCCGAAGCGAAAGCGAGUCUUAAGAGGGCGCGAGUUGCAUGCAGUAGACCCGAAACCGGGUGAUCUAGCCAUGACCAGGUUGAAGUUGGGGUAAAACCCGAUGGAGGACCGAACCGACCCCCGUUGAAACGUUGGCGGAUGAGUUGUGGCUAGGGGUGAAAUUCCAAUCGAACCCGGAGAUAGCUGGUUCUCCCCGAAAUAGCUUUAGGGCUAGCGUCGAGAGAAGAGUUGCGUGAAGGUAGAGCACUGAAUAUGUGAUGGCCCCAUCUCGGGGUACUGAGCAUAAUCAAACUGCGAAUGUCACGAGAACAUGCUCGGCAGUCAGACAGCGGGUGAUAAGGUCCGUUGUCAAGAGGGAAACAGCCCAGACCAUCAGCUAAGGUCCCAAAAUGUAUGCUAAGUGGAAAAGGAUGUGGAGAUGUACAGACAACUAGGAGGUUGGCUCAGAAGCAGCCAUCCUUUAAAGAGUGCGUAACAGCUCACUAGUCGAAUGACUCUGCGCCGAUAAUUUACCGGGGCUAAGCAUACUACCGAAGCUAUGGAUCCCAAGGGAUGGUAGGGGAGCGUUCCAUGAACGGAGAAGUACGACCGAAAGGACGUGUGGAGAUCAUGGAAGAGAGAAUGCCGGUGUGAGUAGCGGAACGUGGGUGAGAAUCCCACGCACCGAAAACCCAAGGUUUCCAGAGGAAGGUUCGUCCGCUCUGGGUAAGUCGGGACCUAAGGCGAGGCCGAAAGGCGUAGUCGAUGGACAACAGGUAGAGAUUCCUGUACCCGUAUAUAUGUGAAGGAAUGACGGAGAGAGGAAGCUGCAGCCAGCGGCUGGAAGAGCUGGUGCAAGCGAGAUAUCGGGAUGGCAGGCAAAUCCACCAUCCGAAACGAGAAGGCGUGAAGCGUACGGAAAGCUACGGCGAGUACGGAAGGCAGUGGAGGAACUUCCAAGAAAAGUUUCUAACGUUAAGUAUAUAUGGCCCGUACCGAAAAUGGACACACAUGGGUGAGGAGAGAAUCCUAAGGUGAGCGAGAGAACUAUAGCUAAGGAACUCUGCAAAAUGACUCCGUAACUUAGGGAGAAGGAGUGCUCAUAGAGAUAUGAGCCGCAGUGAAACGGCCCAAGCGACUGUUUACCAAAAACACAGCUCUCUGCUAAGCCGCAAGGCGAAGUAUAGGGGGUGACGCCUGCCCGGUGCUGGAAGGUUAAGGGGAGGGGUUAACGCAAGUGAAGCCCUGAACUGAAGCCCCAGUAAACGGCGGCCGUAACUAUAACGGUCCUAAGGUAGCGAAAUUCCUUGUCAGGUAAGUUCUGACCCGCACGAAAGGCGUAACGAUUUGGGCGCUGUCUCAGCUGUAGACUCGGUGAAGUCUUAGUACCUGUGAAGAUGCAGGUUACCCGCGACUAGACGGAAAGACCCCAUGGAGCUUCACUGCAGGUUGAUAUUGGGAUUUGAUGCAGCAUGUACAGGAUAGGUAGGAGGCAAAGAGAUGGAUACGCCAGUAUUCAAGGAGCCGCUGUUGGGAUACUACCCCUGUUGUAUUGGAUUUCUAACCGGACGACGUAGAGCCGUUGACGGGACAGUGUCAGUCGGGCAGUUUGACUGGGGCGGUCGCCUCCCAAAGAGUAACGGAGGCGCCCAAAGAUACCCUCAGCUUGGAUGGAAACCAAGCGCAGAGUGCAAAGGCAAAAGGGUGUUUGACUGCGAGACCCACAAGUCGAGCAGGGACGAAAGUCGGGCUUAGUGAUCCGGCGGUGCUGAAUGGAAAGGCCGUCGCUCAACGGAUAAAAGCUACCCUGGGGAUAACAGGCUGAUCUCCCCCAAGAGUCCACAUCGACGGGGAGGUUUGGCACCUCGAUGUCGGCUCGUCGCAUCCUGGGGCUGUAGUAGGUCCCAAGGGUUGGGCUGUUCGCCCAUUAAAGCGGUACGCGAGCUGGGUUCAGAACGUCGUGAGACAGUUCGGUCCCUAUCUGUCGUGGGCGCAGGAAAUUUGAGAAGAGCUGUCCUCAGUACGAGAGGACCGGGAUGGACGCAUCAAUGGUGGACCAGUUGUCACGCCAGUGGCAUAGCUGGGUAGCUAAAUGCGGAAGGGAUAAACGCUGAAGGCAUCUAAGUGUGAAACCCACUUCAAGAUGAGAUUUCCCAUUGC